rnacentral:tRNA from 1 species
GGGGAUUUAGCUCAGUGGUAUAAGCGCCUGCUUUGCAAGCAGGUGAUUGUGUGUUUGAUCCCCG